CGUGGUGUAAAGUGCAGAAAUUAAAAAUGGCGGAUUUUCUGUCCAGCAAAUACUACUCAGAAACUAAAGUUUUAAAGCUAAAACUCAUCCUAGAAAUUUUUGUGAAGAAGACCUAGUGGUAUAGAAAUUACUGAAGAGGCUAACUGUAUUAAUUGUAAUGGAAAUCUUUUACUGAAAGUGGUCCUCUUAGUAUCAGUGGAGAGGUAGCUCAUGCCAUCAAUCUCAGUGGACUGAGGGAAGUGUGUAUUAGGAGAGUGGAUAAAGAUGAAGUGACACUUGAUUUGGUUGAAUUCAUAUUUAAAGUGAGUUAUGAGCAUGAACUCUAGCAGUGCAUGUACAAGCAUGUGUGAUACUUAAAACCUUUAUUGAACCUACCAACUGUGAUGGCUGUAACAUCCCUUUCAUAACCU
rnacentral:lncRNA from 1 species